UACAGAGACUGCAAGCGUUAUUCGGAUUCACUGGGCGUAAAGGGUGCGCAGGCGGCCAGGUGUGUCAGGUGUGAAAGCCCGGAGCUUAACUCCGGAAUUGCGCCUGAAACUACUUGGCUAGAGCAUUGGAGAGGGUAGCGGAAUUCACGGUGUAGCAGUGAAAUGCGUAGAUAUCGUAAGGAAGACCAGUGGCGAAGGCGGGUCUCUGGACAGUUCCUGACGCUGAGGCACGAAGGCCAGGGGAGCAAACGGG
rnacentral:rRNA from 1 species